rnacentral:rRNA from 1 species
GCAAGUCGAACGAUGAACCUUAGCUUGCUAGGGGGAUUAGUGGCGAACGGGUGAGUAAUAUAUCGGAACGUACCUUGUAAUGGGGGAUAACUAGUCGAAAGAUUAGCUAAUACCGCAUACGCCCUGAGGGGGAAAGUAGGGGAUCUUCGGACCUUACGUUAUAAGAGCGGCCGAUAUCUGAUUAGCUAGUUGGUGGGGUAAUGGCCUACCAAGGCGACGAUCAGUAGCUGGUCUGAGAGGACGACCAGCCACACUGGAACUGAGACACGGUCCAGACUCCUACGGGAGGCAGCAGUGGGGAAUUUUGGACAAUGGGCGCAAGCCUGAUCCAGCCAUUCCGCGUGAGUGAAGAAGGCCUUCGGGUUGUAAAGCUCUUUCGCAAGGGAAGAAAACUUACACAAUAACACUGUGUGAGGCUGACGGUACCUUGAUAAGAAGCACCGGCUAACUACGUGCCAGCAGCCGCGGUAAUACGUAGGGUGCGAGCGUUAAUCGGAAUUACUGGGCGUAAAGCGUGCGCAGGCGGUUUUGUAAGUCAGAUGUGAAAUCCCCGAGCUCAACUUGGGAACUGCGUUUGAAACUACAAGACUAGAAUAUGUCAGAGGGGGGUAGAAUUCCACGUGUAGCAGUGAAAUGCGUAGAGAUGUGGAGGAAUACCAAUGGCGAAGGCAGCCCCCUGGGAUAAUAUUGACGCUCAUGCACGAAAGCGUGGGGAGCAAACAGGAUUAGAUACCCUGGUAGUCCACGCCGUAAACGAUGUCAACUAGC